rnacentral:rRNA from 1 species
GACAGAGGUGCCAAGCGUUAGGCGGAAUCACUGGGCUUAAAGCGUGUGUAGGCGGCCCUGCAAGUCGGAUGUGAAAUCCCACGGCUCAACCGUGGAAGUGCAUUCGAAACUGCAGGGCUAGAGUCCUGGAGAGGAAGGUGGAAUGCUUGGUGUAGAGGUGAAAUUCGUAGAUAUCAAAGCGGAACACCGGUGGCGAAGGCGGCCUUCUGGACAGUGGACUGACGCAU